GACGAACGCUGGCGGCGUGCUUAACACAUGCAAGUCGAACGGUAAGGCCCUUCGGGGUACACGAGUGGCGAACGGGUGAGUAACACGUGGGUGAUCUGCCCUGCACUUCGGGAUAAGCCUGGGAAACUGGGUCUAAUACCGGAUAGGACCACUGCCUGCAUGGGUGGUGGUGGAAAGCUUUUGCGGUGUGGGAUGGGCCCGCGGCCUAUCAGCUUGUUGGUGGGGUGAUGGCCUACCAAGGCGACGACGGGUAGCCGGCCUGAGAGGGGGACCGGCCACACGGGGAUGGGGUGACGGCCCGGACUCCUCCGGAGGCAGCAGUGGGGAAUAUUGCACAAUGGGCGCAAGCCUGAUGCAGCGACGCCGCGUGAGGGAUGACGGCCUUCGGGUUGUAAACCUCUUUCAGCACCGACGAAGCGCAAGUGACGGUAGGUGCAGAAGAAGGACCGGCCAACUACGUGCCAGCAGCCGCCGUAA
rnacentral:rRNA from 1 species